UAAGUGAAUACAUAGUUUAGCGAGGGGAACCCGGUGAACUGAAACAUCUAAGUACCCGGAGGAAGAGAAAGAAAUUCGAUUCCGUAAGUAGCGGCGAGCGAACGCGGAACAGGCCAAACCAAUGAAGUUUACUUCGUUGGGGUUGCGGACAUACAACAUGGAUGCAAUAUCGUAAAUGAAGAGAGUUGGAAAGCUCCGCCAUAGAAGGUAAUAGCCCUGUAGUUGAAACGAGAAAGCUACUAGUAUGAUCCAGAGUACCACGGGACACGUGAAACCCUGUGGGAAGCAGGAGGGACCAUCCUCCAAGCCUAAAUACUACCUAGUGACCGAUAGCGCAUAGUACCGUGAGGGAAAGGUGAAAAGAACCCCGGGAGGGGAGUGAAAUAGAACCUGAAACCCUGCACUUACAAGCUGUGGGAGCACAUUACUUGUGUGACCGCGUACUUUUUGUAGAACGGGCCAACGAGUUACGUUAAGUAGCAAGGUUAAGCACUUAAGGUGUGGAGCCGUAGCGAAAGCGAGUCUUAAAUGGGCGAUUAAGUUACUUGGCGUAGACCCGAAACCGGGCGACCUAUCCAUGAGCAGGUUGAAGCGAAAGUAAAAUUUCGUGGAGGACCGAACCCACGAGCGUUGAAAAGCUCGGGGAUGACUUGUGGAUAGCGGUGAAAUUCCAAUCGAGCCCGGAGAUAGCUGGUUCUCCCCGAAAUAGCUUUAGGGCUAGCCUCAAGCGUAGAGAAACGGAGGUAGAGCACUGAAUGUCCUAGGGGGUAUUGCACUUACCGAAGACUAUCAAACUCCGAAUGCCGUUUUCUUUUACUUGGGAGUCAGACUGUGGGUGAUAAGAUUCAUAGUCAAAAGGGCAACAGCCCAGAUCGUCAGCUAAGGUCCCUAAAUGUACGUUAAGUGGUAAAGGAUGUGGGAUUGCACAGACAACCAGGAUGUUGGCUUAGAAGCAGCCACUCAUUUAAAGAGUGCGUAAUAGCUCACUGGUCGAGUGAUCCUGCGCCGAAAAUUUCCGGGGCUAAAACGUACUACCGAAGCUACGGCAUCAUUUAUGAUGGGUAGGGGAGCUUCGUAUGCAGGCUGAAGCAUGACCGUAAGGACAUGUGGACAGUAUACGAGUGAGAAUGUUGGCAUGAGUAGCGAGACGUGGGUGAGAAUCCCACGGGCCGUAAACCCAAGGUUUCCAGGGGAAGGUUCGUCCGCCCUGGGUUAGUCGGGACCUAAGCCGAGGCCGAAAGGCGUAGGUGAUGGACAACAGGUUGAUAUUCCUGUACCGCCAAUAAGCGUUUGAGAGAUGGAGUGACACAGUAGGAUAAGCUAACCGUACUGUUGGUUAUGUACGGCUAAGCAUUGAGGCAGUCUAAAUAGGCAAAUCCGUUUAGACAAUGCUAGGAUGUGAUGGGGAAGCCCUUCGGGGCGAAGUAGCUGAUUUCACACUGUCAAGAAAAGCUUCUAUCGAGUUUAAAGGCGCCCGUACCGUAAACCGACACAGGUGGGUGAGGAGAGUAUCCUAAGGCCAGCGAGAGAACUAUUGUUAAGGAACUCGGCAAAAUGACCCCGUAACUUAGGGAGAAGGGGUGCCUGUCUAUGACAGGCCGCAGAGAAUAGGCCCAAGCGACUGUUUACCAAAAACACAGGUUUCUGCUAAGUCGCAAGACGAUGUAUAGGAGCUGACGCCUGCCCGGUGCUGGAAGGUUAAGGGGAUCUGUUAGAGCAAUCGAAGCAGUGAACUUAAGCCCCAGUAAACGGCGGCCGUAACUAUAACGGUCCUAAGGUAGCGAAAUUCCUUGUCGGGUAAGUUCC
rnacentral:rRNA from 1 species